UACGGAGGGUGCAAGCGUUAAUCGGAAUUACUGGGCGUAAAGCGCGCGUAGGUGGUUUGAUGAAGCGAAGAUGUGAAAAGCCCCCGGGGCUUAACCUGGGAACGGCAUUUUCGAACUGUCAGGCUAGAGUAUGGUAGAGGAGUGUGGAAUUUCCUGUGUAGCGGUGAAAUGCGUAGAUAUAGGAAGGAACACCAGUGGCGAAGGCGGCACUCUGGACCAAUACUGACACUGAGGUGCGAAAGCGUGGGGAGCAAACAGGAUUAGAUACCCCUGUAGUCC
rnacentral:rRNA from 1 species